UACGUAGGGGGCAAGCGUUGUCCGGAUUUAUUGGGCGUAAAGAGCGUGUAGGCGGCCAGGUAGGUCUGCUGUGAAAAACUCGAGGCUUAACCUCGAGAUGUCGGCGGAAACCAAUCUGGCUAGAGUCCGGAAGAGGAGAAUGGAAUUCCCGGUGUAGCGGUGAAAAUGCGCAGAUAUCGGGAGGAAACACCGGGUGGCGAAAGGCGGGGUCUCUGGGCCGAUACUGACGUGGAGGAGCGAAAGCGUGGGGGAGCGAA
rnacentral:rRNA from 1 species